CCUUCGGGCGGCAGCAGUCGAGAAUCUUUCGCAAUGGGCGAAAGCCUGACGAAGCGACGCCGUGUGAGCGAAGAAGGCCUUCGGGUUGUAAAGCUCUUUCGCUAGGGAACAAGGGAAGCAGGAUAAUACCCUGCUGACUUGAGGGUACUUGGUAAAGAAGCACCGGCUAACUCCGUGCCAGCAGCUGCGGUAAUACGGAGGGUGCAAGCAUGGAUCGGAAUUACUGGGCGGAAAGGGCGCGUAGGCGGCCAAAUUCCGGGGCUCAACCCCGGAGCUGCAUUUGAAACUUCUUGGCUAGAGGAUGGUUAGGGAAAACGGAAUUCCACGUGUAGCGGUGAAAUGCGUAGAUAUGUGGAAGAACACCGGUGGUGAAGACGGUUUUCUGGGCCAAACCUGACGCUGAGGCGCGAAAGCUAGGGGAGCAAACAGGAUUAGAUACCCUAGUAGUC
rnacentral:rRNA from 1 species